CGAAAGCCUGACGGAGCAACGCCGCGUGAGGGAUGAAGGCCUUUGGGCUGUAAACCUCUUUUCUCAAGGAAGAAGAUCUGACGGUACUUGAGGAAUAAGCCACGGCUAAUUCCGUGCCAGCAGCCGCGGUAAUACGGGAGUGGCAAGCGUUAUCCGGAAUUAUUGGGCGUAAAGCGUCCGCAGGCGGCCGUCUAAGUCUGUUGUUAAAUCGUGGAGCUUAACUCCAUCACGGCAAUGGAAACUGUUCGGCUUGAGUGUGGUAGGGGCAGAGGGAAUUUCCGGUGUAGCGGUGAAAUGCGUAGAUAUCGGGAAGAACACCAGUGGCGAAAGCGCUCUGCUAGGCCAUUACUGACGCUCAUGGACGAAAGCCAGGGGAGCGAAAGGGAUUAGAUACCCCUGUAGUCCUGGCCGUAAACGAUGAACACUAGAUGUUGGGGGAAUCGACCCCCUCGGUGUCGUAGCUAACGCGUUAAGUGUUCCGCCUGGGGAGUACGCACGCAAGUGUGAAACUCAAAGGAAUUGACGGGGGCCCGCACAAGCGGUGGAGUAUGUGGUUUAAUUCGAUGCAACGCGAAGAACCUUACCAAGGCUUGACAUCCUGCGAAUCUCCAAGAAACUGGAGAGUGCCUUCGGGAGCGCAGUGACAGGUGGUGCAUGGCUGUCGUCAGCUCGUGUCGUGAGAUGUUGGGUUAAGUCCCGCAACGAGCGCAACCCACGUUUUUAGUUGCCAGCAUUCAGUUGGGCACUCUAGAAAGACUGCCGGUGACAACCGGAGGAAGGUGUGGACGACGUCAAGUCAUCAUGCCCCUUACGCCUUGGGCUACACACGUACUACAAUGCUGCGGACAAAGAGUAGCGAUCUUGCAAAAGUUAGCUAAUCUCAUAAACCGUGGCUCAGUUCAGAUCGUAGGCUGCAACUCGCCUACGUGAAGUAGGAAUCGCUAGUAAUCGCAGGUCAGCAUACUGCGGUGAAUACGUUCCCGGGCCUUGUACACACCGCCCGUCACACCAUGGAAGUUGGCCAUGCCCGAAGUCGUUACUCUAACCUUUUGGAAGAGGGCGCCGAAGGCAGGGCUAAUGACUGGGGUGAAGUCGUAACAAGGUAGCCGUAGCGGAAGCUGCGGCUGGAUCACCUCCUAA
rnacentral:rRNA from 1 species